rnacentral:rRNA from 1 species
UACGUAGGGCGCAAGCGUUGUCCGGAAUUAUUGGGCGUAAAGAGCUCGUAGGCGGCCUGUUGCGUCCGCUGUGGAAAUCCCGGGGCUUAACCCCGGGCCUGCAGUGGAUACGGGCAGGCUGGAGGCAGGCAGGGGAGAACGGAAUUCCCGGUGUAGCGGUGAAAUGCGCAGAUAUCGGGAGGAACACCAGUGGCGAAGGCGGCCUUCUGGACCAGCACUGACACUCAAGCACGAAAGCGUGGGGAGCAAACAGG